UGCGCAGGCGGUUUUGUAAGACAGUGGUGAAAUCCCCGGGCUCAACCUGGGAACUGCCAUUGUGACUGCAAGGCUGGAGUGCGGCAGAGGGGGAUGGAAUUCCGCGUGUAGCAGUGAAAUGCGUAGAUAUGCGGAGGAACACCGAUGGCGAAGGCAAUCCCCUGGGCCGUGCACUGACGCUCAUGCACGAAAGCGUGGGGAGCAAACA
rnacentral:rRNA from 1 species